GGCAACGUGGCCGAGUGGUCUAAGGCGCUGGAAUUAGGUAUCCUUAUAUCCAGUCCGAAAGGGCGAGGGUUCGAACCCCUCCGUUGUCA